CAGCCGCCGCGGUAAUACGGAGGGUGCAAGCGUUAAUCGGAAUUACUGGGCGUAAAGCGCACGCAGGCGGUCUGACAAGUCAGAUGUGAAAUCCCCGGGCUUAACCUGGGAACUGCAUUUGAAACUGUCAGGCUGGAGUCUUGUAGAGGGGGGUGGAAUUCCAGGUGUAGCGGUGAAAUGCGUAGAGAUCUGGAGGAAUACCGGUGGCGAAGGCGGCCCCCUGGACAAAGACUGACGCUCAGGUGCGAAAGCGUGGGGAGCAAACAGGAUUAGAUACCCCCGUAGUCCAUGUCUCUUAUAC
rnacentral:rRNA from 1 species